CGUUCGUAGUUGAACUUGUGCUCCAUACGGGUAGUACACCUAUAAUUAUGGUUUGUACAUUACUCUAUUGUAUGCGAGCGUAUUACCGGUGGAGUUCUAAUAUAUUAAGAUACUUGUAUUUUUUUGUAUACCUCCUAUUUAAACCUGCUUCAGUGCUCUUCACCGAGUGUUGUUGUGGGCCGGUACAAUUACUUUGAACAAAUUAGAGUGCUUAAAGCAGGCUCCAAAUGCCUGAAUAUUUUGUGCAUGGAAUAAUGGAAUAAGACCUCUGUUCUACUUUCAUUGGUUUUUAGAUCAAGAGGUAAUGAUUAAUAGAAGCAGUUGGGGGCAUUAGUAUUACGACGCGAGAGGU
rnacentral:rRNA from 1 species